GAACACCGACACGUUGAACGCAUAUGGCGCAUCGGACGUUUAAACCCGACCGAUGUACACAUUCUUGAGUGCCUAC
rnacentral:rRNA from 1 species